GGCAUGCUCCACCCGGUUGCGUGCUUGCUCAGAGCAGAGGGGGAAACAUAAAACAAACGCAAAAAACGUUGGAGAGACUCAACUGGGCUAGUAAUAGAGUUAAGGUUUCGAAUCCGAUAUGGCUCUUCCUCAGAACUGCAAGACUACCACAGAGUAUGAUCUCCAGGACGAAUGAAGAGAGGCGUACAGGUCGGGUCCAUGAUGGAUUCCCUGAGCCAUCUCGAAUAGGACUACGAGGCUGUUGUCAAACUUUAAAGAAAAAUGUGCUCACUGUUUAAGACAGAUGUGGAAGAUGUCUUUUGGAGGGUUGUGAGUCUUUGAAAUUCUUUUUCAAGAUAAAGGUUUCAGAGAUAUCUGUAGAUAGUUUUAAUCAACCUGUCCAGACAUGCUAUUCCACACUUCUGGAGCAAAUAGGAUUUGAACCUGGACCUCCUGGCAAAGAGAUGUCUGUAUACUUGUGAAAUUAACAAGGGUGUAUGUGGAAUUAAUUAAAUUGUUUUUUGUUCAUUUGUCACCUGAAAUGGGAUUCUCUAAUGCAAGUUAAAGAUACUUGAAAUUGAACUCUGUUCACUAGAACAGCUGCUUAGCUAAUUUUAAAAGUCAAAAAAGUUAAUCAUGUAAGUUUUAAGCACCAUAAACCAAUUAAUAAUGGGUGUUAACUUAAGUCAGUUUAGCUAUAUUAAGAAAGGCACACUACAAAAGUAAGAAGGCAGCUAAAGAACCAGUUUGAAUCAUGAAAGAUUUGACUUUUAGGAUCAACAUAUGAUAAUGAUACAUAUUUUGCAGUGAUAGUGAUGAUGAAACUCAAUGUUGGGCAUCAUUAUCUCUUGAAACCAACAGUGACUUAUGAAACUCUAUGCACAGAAUUAUCCAGAAAUCCAAAAGUUGCUUUCACUGAUUUUUCACUACUUUUGCAAUUAUACUGUGAAGGCAUCCCAGACUGAAAUUAAUGAAUAUCAAGUAAAUUGACAAAGGCAUUAAUUCUGGUUAAAUCUCAAUGUUAGUAUCACUGUAAAAACCUUUGAAAAAUUACAUUCUAUUGAAUGAGGUGCAGCUUCAUUUUAACAUUGUACUAACCCCAUGAUGAGUAUUAAUCUUCGAAGAGAAAGUGAGGACUGCAGAUGCUGGAGAUCAGAGCUGAAAAUGUGUU